rnacentral:rRNA from 1 species
AGAACGACUCUCGGCAACGGAUAUCUCGGCUCUCGCAUCGAUGAAGAACGUAGCGAAAUGCGAUACUUGGUGUGAAUUGCAGAAUCCCGUGAACCAUCGAGUCUUGAACGCAAGUUGCGCCCGAAGCCUUCUGGCCGAGGGCACGUCUGUCUGGGCGUCACGC